CCUACGGGAGACAGCAGUGAGGAAUAUUGGUCAAUGGACGAGAGUCUGAACCAGCCAAGUAGCGUGAAGGAUGACUGCCCUAUGGGUUGUAAACUUCUUUUAUAUGGGAAUAAAUUGUUCCACGUGUGGGAUUUUGUAUGUACCAUAUGAAUAAGGAUCGGCUAACUCCGUGCCAGCGGCCGCGGUAAUCCGGAGGAUCCGAGCGUUAUCCGGCUUUAUUGGGUUUAAAGGGUCUGUAGGCGGAUCGUUAAGUUGGUGGUCAAAUUGGGGGGCUAAACCCGUACCCGCCAUUGAAACUGGCGAUCUUGAGUGGAAGAGAGGGAUGCGGAAUGCGUGGUGUAGCGGUGAAAUGCUUAGAUAUCACGAAGAACUCCGAUGGCGAAGGCAGUUCACUGGACUGCAACUGACACUGAGGCUCGAAAGUGUGGGUAGCAAACAGGAUUAGAUACCCGAGUAGUC
rnacentral:rRNA from 1 species